GGGAGUAUAGCUCAAUGGCAGAGCAUUCGACUGCAGAUCAAGAGGUCGGUGGUUCAAAUCCGCCCGCUCCUU
rnacentral:tRNA from 1 species